GGAGGGUUGGCCGAGUGGACGAUGGCGGCUGUCUUGAAAACAGUUAUACCGCAAGGUAUCGGGGGUUCGAAUCCCUCACCCUCCGCCA
rnacentral:tRNA from 1 species